rnacentral:tRNA from 1 species
AGAAACAUAGUAUAAGUUAAUUAUGCUUCUUUUACACAGAAGUGACGGUGGUUUAUAACAUCUGUUUCUA